GAGUUACAUACAUGGAAGCAGUCAGGCUCAGUUUGUUGCAGAAUCACAUAUUAUUCUUCUACUGAAUGCUGCUAUCACCAUGGGAAUGGUACUCCUGAAUGAAGCUGCUACCUCCAAAGGGGAUGUUGGAAAAAGGAGAAUAAUAUGUCUGGUAGGCUUGGGUCUGGUGGUCUUUUUCUUCAGCUUCCUGUUGUCGAUAUUUCGCUCCAAAUACCAUGGCUACCCAUACAGCUUCUUAAUUAAAUGAAUUCAAGAGGGAUUCAUUUAGAGCUGCUUACCAUGAAGAUAAGCUAUAAGUGAUAUUAUCUGCCUAUGUUGUUUCAUGUAUUCAAGAAUCUUUUGUUGGUUCAUCUGUUUUUGUGAUUAUUUAUAUAGUACACUGAUAGAGAAAUGAAUGCAGUUUUAUGCAAUGAAUGUGUAAUUUAUAGAAACACACAGUAAACACCUCACUGGGAAGUGCUAAAAAGUUAAUAUAGCGUGCUCAAGAAUUUAAAUAAAUUUCAUUAUAAUGGGC